UAACACUUUAUUUGAAGGGUGUCUACAUAACACAUUCAUAUCACCUUACAUAAACACUUCAUAACAUGUUCAUGAAUGCUUAAAUCAAGAUUUGUAAAUUAUGCAUGUUUUACAUGAUAUUAAUAUGGACUACAAUAUCAUUUUACCAAAAGAUGUUUUUCAAAAUAAAAGUACUAAUUUUUUAUUUUGAAUAACUUUAUUAUUUUCAGUGGAACUCCUCAUUUCUGGACUGCUAGCAUAAAAAUGACCUGGCUUUAUCCCUUUGGACAGAAAGUGCUUUCACACUUUUUGCCUAGACUUUUAACUUUUUUUUUUCUCAAGCAUCUGUAUUCUGUGUGAUGGGUAGAAGCAUAGGGCAAAAGGUGAGACCGUUAGGUUGAAAAUGGUCGCUUAAAUAUAACGUCCUUAUAGCGUCCUUGUCCGCUAGUGGCUCUGUACCGGCAAGAGGGGGCUUUUAUUUUGACACUUGCGUUUUGAUUGAUCUCGGUUUGACCCGCCAUAUAGUCUCGCGCAGGGAGAAGGAAGCAUCGUUUGAGCUCGGCGUCGGGAAGGUCCGUGAAGCUGUAUGUUGCUAACUUGCAUUUUAAACUUUUGGGGAAGACCAUAGGAACGUGACUGAGCCUGCUGGCGCCGUGUGUGUGCGAGAAGCCCACAUUUACACAGGGAGAGUGGGGGGCUUUCUGAAUCAGCAGUGUGGCGUGGCAGAUAUUGUGUGAGCCCUUGGGGAUAUCUGGAAGUACUACAAAGUGAAGUUGCGCUGUGCAUCCCACCUGCUACAGUUAACCGGUCUGUACGGCCAGCAACAAUAGCCACUGUUUUUUUUUCUUCCCCUUUUUUUAUAUCUCUGCAUUACAUCAUUUUAAAUAGUUAAUAAAGGAAUAUUUUAGUAUAUUAUUGGGAGGCUUUUUGACCCAGGGCAGCCCUUAAUAUAUUCUACCCCUGGUUAAUCUGGUGCCUUUUUAAUUUAGGAAGGACGGUUAGGAAGAGCACGCUGAAAGGUAGAGGAUAUUCAGCCCAUUUAAGCCGGGUUUCUGUGCCACCUAUAUUGAAGGUUGCAGUGUCACGUUUGGUUUAUUUCGAUUUGAUUAGUGUGGGUGAUUGGAAGUAUAUUUAUGUGAUUUUUUUUUUUUUUUUCAUCGUCUACUGAAUUAAUUUAAUUGCAGUGUGUAAUUUAGUAUGGGGGGUUGAACCCAGGCUGGUAUUGUGGUUCCUUUUUCUGCGUGGUUAUUCUACCAUUAGUAGUUAAUAAUCCAUCAAGGCCCAGAUUGUGCUAGGGUGACGUGAUUUUAGAAGUGGGUCUGAUAUCGCUAUGAUGUGUGCAUCUGUCAAAUCUUCUAUCCUUAAUAAACCUGUUAAUAUACCAGCCUCUUAACGUCUCUGCGUGCCUUAUUUAGGUAAUUCUUUGGGUUGGCUACCGAAUAACAAUCGAAUAAGGUAGCCCUCGGGUCACAUCUGCACUGUGCUAUUCUUUCUACUUUUUACCCUAAUUAUACUCUAAAAAUGCACUGUUAAUUCAACAGUCUGGACAUAGUUGUGGAAAAUGUUAUGUAAACUAAGUUUAACGUUCUUGAGGUGAAUGCUAACACUGUUAUCCCAAUUACUUUGGAGGUUUUAUUUUAGUGAUGUUCUUCCUCACUUACAUUUUUGGAGAAGGGACAAAAAAAACACAUCUGUAUUUUGUAGUUUCAUGUUCAGAAGAGUUUGUAGUUUCCUGAUUUGAGUUUCAGUGUUUAAGUGCCUGUUCUUUGGUCUUGCCAAUAAAAAAAGGACCUUCCUA